AACGAACGCUGGCGGCAGGCUUAACACAUGCAAGUCGAACGGCUGUAGCAAUACAGCAGUGGCAGACGGGUGAGUAACACGUGGGAACCUUCCUAGGGGUACGGAACAACUCAGGGAAACUUGAGCUAAUACCGUAUACGUCCGUAAGGAGAAAGAUUCAUCGCCCCUAGACGGGCCCGCGUCGGAUUAGGUAGUUGGUGGGGUAACGGCCUACCAAGCCUACGAUCCGUAGCUGAUCUGAGAGGANGAUCAGCCAC
rnacentral:rRNA from 1 species